rnacentral:rRNA from 1 species
GACGAACCGUGCGAACGUUAUUCGGAAUCAUUGGGCUUAAAGGGCGCGUAGGCGGCGGUGUAAGUUGGAAGUGAAAUCCCAUCGGCUCAACCGUGGAAUUGCUCCCAGUACUGCAUCGCUCGAGGGGGAUAGGGGUUUGCGGAACUACCGGUGGAGCGGUGAAAUGUGUUGAUAUCGGUGGGAACGCCAGUGGCGAAGGCGGCAAACUUGACCCUUCCUGACGCUGAGGCGCGAAAGCUAGGGGAGCAAACGGG